GCGGAGGGCUUGGUGUGAGUUAGCACAUCCAGAAAGUCGGCAGUGGUUACUGUAUCCAACUGGAUCCCGGGUAAGUCGCUGCUUUCUAGGAUAAGAACACAACAGUAACAGCACAACAAUCGACCUCUUGGUGAUCAAUGCCCUUGAAACGCUAAUAGACCUUCUUUCAAAAUAAUGCAUAAUGCAGCAUUCUUAAUUGUUAAUGCAGCAAAAGGCAAGACUAAAGAGGGCUGGGGAAAAAUUCUUUAAUAUGCAACUGAGCCCCUAAGGCCCAGACAAAAAAAUGUGACCUAAAUGUAUUGUUACCAGGUAUUAUUUAAUAUUUAUAUAGUGCCUCAAAUGGAUCCAGCCCAACAUCAGAGUGUGCCAGAUAAAUAAAAGCCUGCGCCCUAAGGAGUUUAUCAUCUGCAAGCAAAGUCGAUCUGAAUCAGAACACCCACGGAGGAAUGAGUUGAGUGAGGGAUGAUUUGACCAAAAAACGCGUUGCAAGUAUAAAGUAGCACCAAGAGCAGGCGCCAGGCUCCAUCUGCUGGUGAGAGGGAUUUUUACACAAAUUUCCCAGAACACCUUCACGGUGAUCCAACCCAUACCUGACUGGUGAUUUUCAAGUGCAUCAAAGAUCUUCCUCACGGGCCGCAUGGCUGCUUCCCUGCAGACGAGCUUAAUGUCGGAGCCCGAGUAGCCCUCAGUCUCCUGAAACAGCCAAAAAACCAGCCAUUGGUCAGUGGGCAGAAUGCUCCUGGCCAUUACGUUGUUAUAGGCAGGACCCAGUAUCAGAAGCCCUGUGUAGAUUCUGUAUCUGUCACCCAUGAACACCCUAAAAAGAUUCCCAGAUAAACUGCUUGAGGAAGAGACCCUGCUAGCAUGUUGGGAUAACCUAAGCAGCUGGGCUAGAAUAGCUUUCCAACACCAUCGAAAUAUGCUGUAAGAUGCCGGUGAAGGACCAGAACACCCAAGUUAGCCUAUCAGGGCCCCUGUACUCAAAUCCAAGGAUGGUCAAAUUUGGUAGGCACGUUUAUUCUUGUAGAUAAGAUCAUACCUGCCAUUUAGGAACCUCAGAGAACAUUGUGUUCAAAUGUUCCACCAAAAGCAGGCAACAUUUCUACAACACCCUGGGAAUGGACACCACUGAUAAUGGGCAUAAUAGACAUUUACCCCUGAGCUUUUCUGUUAUGUAAUCAUCACAGUCAUUCUUUGUGGCUCAUCUGCUACCCAUUUUACAGAUGAGGAAACUGAGGCUCAAAGACUGAGUGACUUCUCUGAGGUCACACAGCUAACAAGCAGCAGGGCCAGGAUUUGACCAUAGGUUCUUUGAGUCGAAACCCUUUGCUGUUUCCACUGCCUCACAUUGUUUCUCCCUCUCUGAAUAUUUUUAAGUGAAAAGGAGCUUAUUCUUCGUGAAGAUGCCCAUUGCAUUACGGGGGCAGCUUGGAUCUUAUUCUAAGUGUCUCAAGCUUCUAUCAGCUCAUGGUCAAAACUACCAGCAAGUGUGAGCUGCGGGGUGUACAGCAAGUGUGAAGUGCAGCGAAGACUCACAGACCUCAGAGUCUGGUCCACUGGACCCAGGUCCACUGCUGGAUAAAAGGUGCAGCACCCACUGGCCACUUCCACGGUUUACAUCUUGCUUCAAGGCCUUGCGCCCGAUCAGCUGAGCACCUGUGCCAACCCUCAGGCAGAUCUUUCAUGGUACAGACAGCAAGGAUUGGAGACCUGAACAGUAAAGCCUCCACAUUAAUCUUCCAGGGCUGCAGCCAAACAACACGGCUUUGCCUGAAGUGGUUAGAAGCUGCUAAGACAAACACGAGAUCUUCUGAGCGCGCCAGCCCAUCCAUCUGCACCAGUAACUCUGUCUUCAUCCGCAGGCUUCCUUCAUGUUCUCCCCUACAGAGAGACAAGACGUGAUUCUCGUGCUCACUAAAGGCAGAAGAGAGAUCAAGAGCUUCUGCUAGACCAAACACCCAGUUGGAAGGAGAACCACGCCUGGAAUCUAGGCAUUCAUACUGCCCUCUGCAUUGCUCUUUCCACUCGCAGGGAACAUACAGAAUCAUGGACAAGGUCUCCUUGUGUUGCCCAGGCUGCUUUCGAACUCCUGGCCUCAAGCGAGUGAUUCUCUUCUUGGCCUCCAAAGUGUUGGGAUUACAGGUGUGAGCCACUAUGCCUAGCCUGAACUUUCUUAAAAGAAGAUGCCAUGAUUAUUUUCAAUGACCUUGAAAUGUAUGUAUCUCUCCUAAGCUAAUUUUAA